GAUGAACGCUGGCGGCGUGCCUAAUACAUGCAAGUCGAGCGAACGGACGAGAAGCUUGCUUCUCUGAUGUUAGCGGCGGACGGGUGAGUAACACGUGGAUAACCUACCUAUAAGACUGGGAUAACUUCGGGAAACCGGAGCUAAUACCGGAUAAUAUUUUGAACCGCAUGGUUCAAAAGUGAAAGACGGUCUUGCUGUCACUUAUAGAUGGAUCCGCGCUGCAUUAGCUAGUUGGUAAGGUAACGGCUUACCAAGGCAACGAUGCAUAGCCGACCUGAGAGGGUGAUCGGCCACACUGGAACUGAGACACGGUCCAGACUCCUACGGGAGGCAGCAGUAGGGAAUCUUCCGCAAUGGGCGAAAGCCUGACGGAGCAACGCCGCGUGAGUGAUGAAGGUCUUCGGAUCGUAAAACGCUGUUAGUAGGGAAGAACAUAUGUGUAAGUAACUGUGCACAUCUUGACGGUACCUAAUCAGAAAGCCACGGCUAACUACGUG
rnacentral:rRNA from 1 species